UAUUAUGUAAACACAAACUUUUAUUCUAAAGUCUAAUCACGAUUAAUCGUUUGACAGCCCUCAUUUAUAAUGAAACAAACACUUUACACUUAUUUUUUUUGUCCACUAAACUCAUUUUAGAGUUGUAAGCACACGCCUUUAGAUCAAAAGGUCAAGGUCAAGAGAAACAUUGAACUAAGGUGAGCCUCAGCAUUUGAUGAGUAAAACCUAACAAAUAUUUAAUCUUCUUGUUGAUCAGCUGUAGAUCUCGACACUGUCAUGUGCAUAAAAUAUGUCAAACGUAAUUGUUCACAUGUUGCAUCCUCGUAAAAAUAAUGAAUUUCUUGGUUACGUCAUUUCAUUUUUGUCUGGCCGAAGGAAUUUGGAAUGUUGUGACAGGAAUGAUUCCAGUGCGUUCUUCUGUUAUCAGGGCGUGAUCAAAUAUAAACUCCCUUUACAACGACUCUUCCGUUAAACAUCAGUAACAAACAACUGGUUUGUUUUUUUCAAGGCAGAGGUCAAUUGAAUUAUUAUUGGUAACACAAAGACAAAGCGGGUCUUAUGGAUACAGGUGCAUGCGAAAAACAUUUCACAGAAUGAUGUGCUGAGUUUUCUUUUCAAUAUUGAGUAAAAUUACCCCUCUACACAUCCGAAUGAUUUACAUGAUUGACAGCGUCUGACGUGAUUGUGGGCAGGAAGUGAGAGUAACCUCAGUUUACAAAAAUUACGUAGAAAACCGUUCGACAACUUAUAUUAUUUUAUCUCAGUCAUGUUCAUCUUUAAUGUUGCCAGUUUGUUAUCAUGAAUAAAUCCUCUCCUGAUCAAGAAUAGGAUUGACUUCUUGAGAAUUACAGGAGUCUUUGCCUUAUUUAAACUGACUUCAUAAUUAAAAUUGUAUUAAACAUUUCGUAUGCGUAUUGCAUACUUGGGAAGCACCAGCUAGGUUAAAGCAAAUGGCCUAAACAGUGACGUUAGCUCUGAAAUCAGAGGAAAGAUCUGGUGCUUGAAUCACUUUCCAUCUUUUCAUGGAACCCAGAAAAGGGAAGUGGUAAAAUGUGUUGAAUGUGGUUUACAUUUCUCUGUACAUAUAAUACCUCAUGGCAUUUUUGUUUUCUUUGAAAGUAAAACACAUCACUGGUCAAAAGUUCAAGGUCACUCACUCUUUAUUUAAUAUUCUUUCUCGUGUUUUGAAGUAAGAGUAAACUCAUUAAAAUGAUGUGAAAGACACAAAUGUGAAAGAAAAUCAAACAAAUUGAAACUCUGUUGUAUUUUAGCACUAUACUGACCCUUACUCCUGGCAUUUUCUCAAAGCAACUUCUUGAGGCGUAAAUAAAUGUUGAGUUUCGAAAGAAAUGAAUGAGACCACUAAUAUGACUAAAAUUCAGACAUAUGCAGUCAUGUAGACGAGAUGCUUUUGUUUGUCAAAAUCAGCUUUUUAGACAGACUACAUUUACAUUUAAAAGACUUACUUUUGUAGACAAAGCUCUCAUUCUCAUGAAUGAAAACUGAACUGAAAUCUGAACACAAAGUUUUUAUGGACAAAACCAGCAUGACUUGUGAUGCUGAGGGGUCAGGAUGAUGGAGUUAUGAUGACCAUAUUUUAAUUUGCCAACGUUUUUCGGCACACAGGCUAAAAGAUUCCAAAUUGUAUCCUCCAUUCUGUAUUGAUACUGACCCUUCAACAUCACACGUGUUGCUUUGUCCAUAAAUAGUGUUGCUUUUUUUUUUCCAUGCACCAGAACAACUUCACAAUACAUCUGGUGACUGUUCCAAAGAAUCUCAAAUAUUAGAGAGCUGUGAUUUUAAAAGCCGCAUUGUUGUGAUGAUUUUACUAUUAAUAAUAAGGAAUGAAUAGGUGUGUCCAAACAUGGGACUUACAGAAUCGUGUAUUCCAAGAGUGUGACUAAACAACUUCGGAAAAGAAUAAAAUGCAUUUUGAUGCAUAUUUGGGUUUCUGGACAUUAGCGAUUAAAGACCAUUUGAACAGCCCAUCAGUCUUAUCAGUCACUUUUAUGCAAAGUGACUUAAAGAAUAAUAAUGAAAGAAUUGAAAAUGUACGUAAUGUUGUGUCAUUAUGUAAUGUGUUCCAUUUGUGUUGUGUUGUGUUGUCAUGUUAUGUGCUAUAGGCCACAUCACACUGCAUCUGCUCUGCGUUCCGCAGGAUAUUCCCUGCUGUAGGGUGUCAGCCAUUCUCUUUUAGACGUGUAAGGAAAUCUCUCAUUAACCAUGAGACCAUUUAUAGAAGAUGACUUAGAGGCCAUAGAAAACAUGCCUACACGUUUGUUUCACCACAGGAACUCGCAUCACGUCGCAAUAACGCAAUAUACUCUAUCAAUUGAGUUACAGAAACACCAACGUUUGUGUCUGAUGACCCAACCAAAUGCAACUUGAAUUUACGUGUAACGCUUAGAAGUCCCUUAAAAGUAAAUCGGGGGCUUCACGAGAUUUGAUCAGACAUCACAUAUGAUGGACAUAGUGAUUCUUGCAGACAAGCAUCCGACACUUCAUUUCACCUAUGAUCAAUUGAAAGUCUACGACUGCGUCACGUCAAUGAAUAAAACAUCCCAGUAUGAUAAAUCAGACUUAUCAGAGCAAAGAUCCUCCACAAGACGAUAGCAAAGAUUUUCUUUUUUACGCAUUAAGAUUGUGAGAUAACGUCAAUCCUGUGACUUAAAUUUCCUUUUUGUGACUAAGCAGUUACAGGGGUAUAAAAGAGAGAUGGCUGAAAGAAUGUGUAUAAUACGUUGAAGAGUUUGCUUUUCACUGACAGACAAAUACUGUGAAUCUUCUCCAUGGAGCCCAAAACAGGUAUGGCUGUUAUUAUUAUCUAACAUUAUUUUGUCGAUUCCGGUUAUUUCCAGAAUGAACUAGAUACUUAGGUUCCUGCUUUAUUGUCUGUGCUCAGAAUGACUUUAUCUUUUCUUGUUUUAGGACUUCUCAGCUUGUGGGUUUUGAUCAUGUUGCUGGCCGUGCCAUGCAGACCAACACAUUGCAACGUUACGAAAAGAAUAUUGUUUACCAAAUGCACGAUGGAAAACCUACGAUGUGUUUAUCUCAAUACCAAUGCAGAGAAUAUCAAAUGUUGGCCUCAUCCAAUUCCAGAACUUGACUUGAAAACGCCCGUUUCAACUGAAGACAAAAUCCAGAAAGGUGUCUGCGGACUUCGUUUUAUUCAGGAUGCGCUUGGUUUGAUAUAUGCCCACCAGAGAGACAUACACAGUAUAAACAAUGACAUAUUCCAUAAAAUCAACACGAUGGAGCAAGAGUUGUUCCGUAGCGAGAAAUGUGUUGAGGGAGGUUUGAAAGAACAAUGCAGAAAUGAAACAAAGCCUGACUUCAAUCAUGAUGACAUGUACAGCCGUCUGCAAUGGGGCCGCACUAUUAUAGAGUCUUCCAUCGGUUUUAUGGAGCAGUUGGAGGACUUGGUGAAACACGGACAGAAGCUGAACUUUACAUUAGGAUCACUCCUCAAACACCCUCCUUGUAGAUGCAAGUGCAUUAUGAAGCACAAAUAUGAUCAACUUUGUUCACAAGACAGACAUUAACAUCUUUCUUAUUCCUGUAUUUCUCCACCGAUAGCCGAUUAUUCAGAGUGAUAUUUGCCGAUACCAAUUCUAAAGAUUAAAUGAACAUUCCUUAACUUAUUCAUUCACAUGAUGACUAUUAAUAUUGAACAUCGAAUUGGUGAUGUUUCUUAACGUUUUCUAAAUACAGAGCACAAACAGGAUACAUCGGCCCUGAUCAUCGGCUGUUUUUAAACUUUCGUCCGAUAGCCGUUAGUGUGAAAAAUUGCUUUUAUCGGCCGAUAUAUCGGUGCAUGUCAACUUGCGUAUAAUGCAUAGUUUUUAUAACCUCCUUAGUUGAGAGAAUAUGUGGAUUAUUCAGAUUUAUUUGUAAAUAUAUUUUUUACAGCAUAGGACUACUAUUUUUGUUUAUGAAAAACAUUUGGUUACUUAUCAUGUUUUCUUAUGUUGUCUUUCAGAACCGUAUUUUUAUACAUUGUAUUGUUUAUUUUAUUUAUAGCAACAAUAUUGCCAUUAUUUAAUAAGUUAUUUUGUUAGUAAAAUACACUUGUGUUGCUUAUUCAUAAUGGGUUUCAAGUGUAUACGUUGCAGUUUUUUUAUUUGUAUCGUGACUCAUUUUGAUAAUAAAGCAAAUUUGGUUAUAAAAUGCAAUUGUGUUACUUAUGUUUUCUAUUAUUUUCUAGUAGAACAACAGAAUUUAAGUUAAAAUUCAUUAUUCAGAGGACGCUGAUCGUAUAAAGCAGGGGAAGCAGGUGGUCUGCUCAGUCAGCAAUGUAAUAGUCUCAUGUGACUGUAAUUAAUCAAACUGUCAUACGUGACCGGGAAAAACGUGUUAAUUUUCUAAUUUCAAUGCAGAUGUUUUUUUUCUUUUGAAAUAACCAGGAUGAUUGAUUGUUUAAUAGUGGCCAUGUAUCCCCGAGUGAGUCUUCUACUCAGCCCAUUGGCAGACAGACAAAUAUGAGAAAUCGACAGCACAGUGAAACUUUUGAUGGAACAAUAUGCAUAACUGAAAGUUAUUUUCUCUGAAAGAUGUUUAGCAGACGUCUAUUCGCAGGAAAAGAAAUCAUUCCUAUAGUGAUGUCAAGUACAGUUACGUUCAGAUUUUUCUGAUGUAACUUCUUUUUUACUGAAGGGUUCCAAUUCUGAUGGGUUCCAAAACCAAUUCUGAUGUAAUGCAAGAUAAAUCAAGAUACAUUUCCUCAUUUUUGUGCUCACAUUUUAAGAUGUCCUACCAAAUACAGUUAUAUUCCUGUAAAUCUCUUAUUUCCCAGUGACACAGGCGCUUUCAUCGGACGCACGUACCUGGCCCAAUGAUAACUUCCAGUCUGUGUUUGGUUAUAAUAUAACAAUUAGUUUUAUAUUUAAUUUAUAAUCAUAUUUUAUUGUAUAUUAAUUGUAUUCAAUUAAAACUACUCAACAGUUGAUUGAUUCUUGGCGGAGGUCUACCGGAAAUUAAGUUUGGGCCACAUAACGUUUGUUGCUGCUAAAACCGUCUAUAUCAAUCGUAUUUAAAGGGAUGGUUCACCCAAAAAAUAAAAUUCUGUCAUCAUUUAUUUACCCCACCAAGUUGUCCAAACUUGUAUAAAGUUGACACAAAAAAAGAUAUUUGGAAGAAUGUUUGUAACCAAACAGUUCUAGGCUCUAUUGACUAUUAUAGCGGGGAAAAAUAAGCAUUCUUCCAAAUAUCUUCUUUUGUGAUCAACGGAGCAAAGAAAUGUAUACCCGUUUGGAACAACUUAAGGGUGAGUCAAAUUAAACUGUCCCUUCUUUAAGCAUCUAAUAAAAACGCAGUAUAAAUUGUUUAAUGUGAUGAAAAAACACAUUUAAUGCAGGAUAAGCCGUCUCAAGGGCAUAAUGUAUGAGCUUAUUUUCCAAUCAAAAAUCACAAUACAGCACUAAAAUUUAGAAGUAAACGGUGUAUUUAAAGAUUUAAAAGCUAAAGUGUGAGGCGUGUCAUUUUGUUAAAGCGCUUGUCCAGAUUUUUGUGGUGGGACUGCAGUUCUAGAUGUCCUUAUGUCACUCCUUCACAUUGUUCUGAUGUUUAAUAAUUCAUUUUAGUAUUGAUGCUAUACUUCUGAAACUUUUUGAUCAUCACAAAUUCAGCUUAACCUGUAUUAAACAGGGCUGUCGAAAUUAAUCGAUUGGCGUGGACGAUUCUGCAUGGAUGCAGUACUGUUAAACCCUGAACGUUCGUUUGAGUUUGAACAUGUUAAAACAUUCUCAGUUGUAAAGCUACUGAAAAUCACGUUGACUUUAUUAAAUUACAUAGAGCAGUUUACAUGCAGGUUCUAAAAGAGCUCACAUUUAAUACACUGACGGACAACAUUAUGAAACAGUCUGAGGUGAUGAGUGUGACAACACAAUGAUUCCUGCUGAAAUCCAAGCAAAAUAAAAUCUUGCAAAAUGACCCUACAAGUCCUGCUCUUAGAAUGACGGGUAGAAAUGUGUGGAAUCUUCAAAUCGUUCAUAUAUGAGGUAAAACAGAGAAACGCUUCUGUGGCAUAAACUGCAUUGUCCUUCAAGUCCUGUUGAUCGAUUUAUUGUUCGUUUCAGGUCAACAGGAGCACCGAGAAGACCUUCUCCUUCAUUACAUCAGCCAGUUUUCCCAUAACAGUCAGACAGGCUGCAGUUCCGGUGGACUCUCUCCGUAGCAGUACUUGGCCUGUGGGUUCCUUGAAGAGGUUCUGGAAACCUUCUGCAGCUCGGUUCAAAAAUCGCUCCAGAAGAGGUUGCUGAUGAGAAAGAAACAGGAGAGAUUGCUUUCUUAACGGGAAGUUUCCAAACAUGAUGGACUACUUCUUUCUAUUCCAGGUGAAGAAAAAAUGGUCUGUGGCCGAGGGGACAGAUGCAUAUUUCUAAAGAGGAUAAGUGUUUAAAAUCUAAUGCUGCUAAUCUUGCAUUUCAGGCUGCUUAAAUCAAGCACGUAGUUUUAUGUUUGCUUCAUUUAUUUUUUUCUCUUUCAGAUCUGUGAGUGGCAGGACCAGCGGUCUUCAGCCCCCACAAACCAGCCUGGAGCCUGCCAGACAAAGGCAGGGAACCUCGAGCUGUGACCCAGUGCGCGUCUUUCACACACACCCAAGCACAAAUAAACAUCGCACAAAUAAAAAAAACAUUAAAGCAUGCGUGUUGUUUGUUUUCAUUAAUGCAUAUUUGUCAUACAAAGAAGCUAUCACCUUGCAAAUAGAUUGCUUGUAAUUAUAUUGAUUAUUGUAGUUUUUAAUGUCUUACUUUUAAUUGUGUAUUUUAAUUUUGGUAAAUUAUCUUAGAAGUAGCCUUAAAUCUCAUCAGUUUUUUUCUUUUACACCAAAGCACCCGUUAACAAACAAUUAAAUGUUCAUAUAAUUAGGCUAGAAAAGAAAAUACUUUAUUAAUGUAAUAAAAAAUAAGAAAUUGCUUUCGAAUCAAUUUUUACAUUUGUUAUACUAAACGAAAAAAAAAAAUCUAUUUGUCAUUAUUCCUUUUCAGUUAUCAAAAGGGUAAAGCGUACACGGACCGUCACCUUAUUUCAAAACUUGCGUACACGAGCUGAGACUUGUCACUUGUCGUAGCAGAGCCGUUUCUUGCUAUAUGCGGACAAUGCGGCUGCAUAGGGCCCAGCAGCCACCAGGGGGCCCCCAAACUGCAAGUUCAGCCUCAUAUUUUAUUAUAUUUUGGAGAAUUAAAAGUACCUGUCUUUAUUUGCAUGUAUUGCAUGCAUUCAUUAUGCAUUCAUUUGCAAAGCAUGUAAGUGUUCAUGGGGUAAUCAGGUCAAAAUCACCUUUGGGCUGGGCUGUCAUUUGGUCCUUAAAAACUACAUAACUAGUUUUUUUAAUUUAUUUUUUAUUGAUUGUGCAAUAACAUGGAUGCUGGUCCAUUAUAUACUUAUUUAUUUAAGUAAGUUUAGUUAUUUAUUUUUUACUGUUUUGGAAUGGUGGGUUAAAGCUUUUUUAUGUUAUGCCACCUCAAAGUUUACAUUAAACAUUUUUCAAGAACACACUGUAUCUGUUGCAUUUAUUAAUGUACUCUAGCCUGCUUUCCUCUUAAAAUGUAACAGACUGCUGCAUCGUCACAGAAUAUAUGAAAAAGUUAGGAAUCUCUACCUCAGAGUUUGAAAAAAUAGGGGCCCCCAAAUAGUAUCUCGCAUAGGGCCCCCAAACAGCUAGAAACGGCCCUGUGUCGUAGUAACCGCUCACGUCCAUAUUGAUAAAUGCCAAGUUUUGCGUGGAAGCAAGCGUACGUAGAGUUUUAUGGUGUACGAUCGUUUGAUAUAUUGAGGGCCUGUACGUGCAGCUUUAGCAUCUAAAUACCUUUUGGAGUCAAUGUGUGUUAGGGCCACAACCUUUGUCAUGAUGACCAAAUGCAUUGACUGUUUUAUCUUGACACCCUAUGGUCCGACAUUUUACAUGGUAGUGCAUUCCUUUAAAGGUCCAAUUUAACUUUUUAGAGAAUCUAUUGACAGAAAUGAAAUAUAAUAAACGUAACUAUGUUUUCAGAGGUGAAUAAAGACCUUACAUAAUAAAGCGUUAUGUUUAUUUUACCUUAGAAUGAUCUAUUUCUAUUUACAUACACCGUGGGUCCCCUUACAUGGAAUUCGCCAUGUUGUUUCUACAGUGGCCCUAAACGGACAAACUGCUCUACAGAGGGCGUUUUCUAAAUACGUUAUAUCCUUCGACAAAGAAGCGAAAACAUGACGACAUCUUAGAGCCGUGUCAGCCACCGUAGUGCUUCGAAAGGGAGGGGUGGAGUGAGCCGUUGGUUGCAAUUCACAACCUCAUCGCUAGAUGCGGCUAAAUUUCACACGCUGGACCUUUACAUAACGGAUAAAUGAAGGUGCCAU